GAUGAUUGAUGAAAGGAUACCCUGAAAAUCCAGAGUUCUUGCGAGAGCACAGUUGGAGUUUUCUCUGCGAGUCACUCUGACAGCCAUGAUACUCAGUCAUACCCACCCAUGCCAUUGGCGGGCCAGAGGCGAGCUAAACAGACGAUGACAGCACUGCUGAAGUCCAGAGUCAGUCAGUAAACAGUGAUCAUAGUGUUAUUGUGCAGUGAUAUCUCAAAAGAUGUAAUAUGCAAUGUGACAUUUUCAAAUAAAAGUAGAUCUAUUUGAACAGAUCUAAGAUGCUUCCUCUGAAAAAACAGGUUGUGCCAAACGUCUUUCCAAUUCAUCUGCAGUAACAGUACUUGCAGAAAUGCAGAUAAUAGGCUUUAACUCCCACCACAGCCAGGUCGUAGUUCACAAUCCAUUGUAAAAAAAUAAUGAGUUGGGUUGGGAUAAUUUGGUGCGUGGAGGAAGUCAGGAGCUGAGAUCUCAAGCAUCAUGUCCUCGCGUUAAGUGGGUUCAGUAGGAAGUGCUCAGCGCUUUGUUAAGUACAGCUGCAGCAAUCUUUGCACUAUUUCUGCCUUUGUGCACCGACAGCCUGAUCUCACAGCACGUUGCUGACAGAUAACGGUCGAGAUGAAACCACUGUUCUGUGCCUUUAUCUUCCUGCUGGUAUGCUGCAUUGUCAUCAAUGCAGAUGAAGUUAAGGCAGGAAAUGAGACUUCUACAAAUUCUAAGACAAAUGGUGCCAGCUCUAUGGAUGGACUAUGCGUAAUACAGUUGCUGAUGGCCUUGAUUCCUGCUAUUCUCUGCCAAGCGUUUUAGCACUAUUCAUCACCCAACAUGAAUCAUGGAAGAAAGCACUCCUGGCGUGAAAUAGUGGAAUAUAGGCUAGCCUACAUCUUUGGAUCAUGAAAAACAUGAAGUGUCUGAGACAGAACCUGAGACGGAAGACACUGGCAUGUAGUAGGCUAAAACAAUGGUCAUAGCUAAGUUGGAUCCAUCAAAUGACCUGAAAUUGUAAAACCACAGCAGAUGAAUAAAAGUUGUUUUAAUUACAUAAA